AACGCACGAGACCUGCGGACCUGCGGAGGGAUCAUUAGUGAACGCCCUCACGGGCUUAUAACUAUUCCAAACCUCUGUGAACCGUGCCCUUCGGGGCUAUUUUACAAACAUGGUGUAAUGAACGUCAUAUAUCAUAACAAAGCAAAACUUUCAACAACGGAUCUCU
rnacentral:misc_RNA from 1 species